rnacentral:tRNA from 56 species
GCCUCUGUAGCUCAAUGGAAGAGCAGUUCCGUCCUAAGGAAAGGGUUGGGGGUUCGAGUCCCUCCAGGGGCACCA